ensembl:lncRNA
GCCAGACCAUAUCCAUGGGAACAGCUAAGUGUCCUCGACUUGUGGUCAAGUUUUUAAUUUGAACAACGACAGUGUAAAUACGAAUUUAACACAAGAAUGAGUUUCCGCUGUGGAGAGUUGGGUAUCACCUUUUGCACAAAUGCCUCAAAUCUCAAGCCAUUUAGAUCUGAGGCCUGUGACACAGGGGCUAAUCACAUCAUCCCCAGAGCUAAGAGUGCGUCUCGGAUUUCCACAGGAGAUUUCUCAAAGAGGAACACAAUCAAGUCUGACUUUGCCUCCUCCGUUCAGUCAGUGCCAGAUGAGAAUCUUUCUUUGGUGGAGAACCUACUCUUGGAGAGAGUCAAGGACAAAAAAGAGGACUUGAAGGCUUCUUUUGAGGAAACCAAACUGUCAGUUCAGUUCAGUUCGAGGGGUUUAAUUUAAUUAAAAUCUGUUUUCUAUUUUGAUUUACAGAUAAAGAAGAAUUAUAGCCUUAAUGAAAAAGCUAUGCAGGUAUUUGACAUAACAGUCAGUGGGUUUGUCUCUCAAGAGGAUCUCAGAUCUGUCCUCAGUAAUUUCCUCUUCCCCUUGGAUGAUAAUAUCGUCAGGGAGUUACUGAACUGAACAGAACAGGGUUUAUCAGUAGAGAUGAUCUAUGCAGAGCUUUGGAGAGCCUGAACUUCCAUCUGACCGAUGAGCAGUUCACUGCACUUGCUGAUGUCGUGGAUGAGGAACAUACAGAAGCCAUAAAUUAACAACAAUUCCUGGACUUCCUCCAUCACCAAAGACCAAUCGUGAUAUUAUUACCUUUGCAUUACUGUAAUAUCCAUGGUCACAUUUUUCCUUAAAAAAAAAAAAAAAAAGAAAUAUCACAUGAAGUAAAUAAAGUUUAUUCUUAGGACCCUUAAGAUUUUUUGCAUUGUGG